UGGGGAGAGGACCAUGGUGAGAACUGUCACCUCUAGCCAAUAGCAAUGUUGAUGCAUUAUCUUGAAGUGGAGCCUUUAGCUUCAAUCAACUCUAAAGGUGACUGGGAUGACAGGAUGACAUUUUGACUAUGACCUCCAAAGACCCCACGCAUGAACAAGCUGCUUCUGAAUUUCUGUUCUUCAGAAACUGUGAAGAAAUAGGUGUUAAGACUGCAGAAUCUUUGGAUAAUUUGUUAUGAGGCCAAUUGAAAUGCGAACUCAAAGGAUACUAUACUAUGAUGUAUGUAAAAGAAAGGAGAAGCAGAACAUUGAAUGCAAGAUACAGACAUGACAGAGAUACAGCAAGGAGACAAUUCCAGAAAUGACUUCAUGGGACCGUUUAAGGUCAGGCACUAAUGGAUUCUGUAUUUGGGUUUGUGUCUCAUCCCUGAGUCAGUUCAUGUAGGUGAGGAGAUUCUAAAAUUCAAUGAAGUUAUAAAUUAAAAAUCUCUUUAGCUAUCAAACCCUCUGGAUGAGGGAGGGAUACUUAACCUGAAACAUGCUACAGGACUUUGGGUCUACAUUAGAUU
rnacentral:sRNA from 1 species